ACUGACAUCCAAUGACGCACCCGCACCCACACCCGCUUUAUCUGUGCAGCGCUCUUUGCCAUGUCCUCUGCGAAGCACCCAGAGUCAGGGUCACCACCGGCACGCGUGUUGUCGUCUCCAACGACGGCCUCGGAGAGUGAGGCGGUCGGUACGCUGCAGCUCCUGCGGUUUGCCUACAGCUACAUGACAUGCCAGCUGCGCGUCAUACUCGUGUCCGGCCUCUUCAUGGCUUGUGCGACGCUGCUGAGCAUUUCGAUUCCCGCCCUCGCCGAAGAGAUAGUAUCAUACGGCAUGAGGGCGACCACAAAGACCAUAGACGGUGUCUCGCACACUGUGGAGAGCUCUAGCGCCACAUCACUGGAGGCAGCAACGGCGGCGCCGGGACUCGGGAUGCCCGCAGACGGCGCGGGAGCUGGAGGGGAUCGGCUCUUCUUCCUAGGCCUUGGUCCGCUCAGCGAGCGCAUCUUCAAGCCGCUGCUUCCAAUGCUCUUCGCCUUUCUUCGCAGUGCCGUCGUCGUCAGAGAUGAUGCAGAGCCUGCGGCGUCGCUAUCCCCCUACGUCGAAGGGAUUCUCUGCCGCUGCCUCCUCAUGGCAGUGGCGAUCAUAUGCUACCACUUCACUUCCCUGCUCGCUCACCUUGCCGCGUACUACGCGGGAUCGGGAGCGCAAAAUGCCUUGACGAAGGAUAGCGUGCACCGCAUCCUUCAUACUCCGCACCCCGAGCGCGUCGCAAUCGUGAACGCGGUGAAGCUGGCGCAGCUCAUCACCGCCAGUGGACGGGCCUUGAGCGACACGACCGGCGAGCUGCUCACGAACGUGCUCUCGCAGGUGAUGUACAUUGUGGGCUUCUUUGCCGUAAUGCUCUUCCUGUCCUACCAACUCACCCUGAUCAUUCUAGUCGGGGUGGUGGGGAUUCAGUGUCUCUUCUUUUUUCAAGGGAUCUCGUUGCACCGCCAGGGCAGCCGCGUCACGGCAGAGGAGGCGAGCGUGCAGGCGUACAUCGCGAACAUCCUGCAGCGUAGUCAGACCGUGCUGGUCUUCGGUUGCAGCGAGUUCGUGCUGGACCGCAUGGCAGACCGAUCGGCGCAGUUGUGGCGGCUGACAAACGGUCUAAACCGCAGCAUCCACGGCUACGCCGCCGUCAGCUCCGGCCUCACCCGCCUCAUCCUGGUCGUGGCGCUUGGGCUGUCGAAUUACUACCAGCAGAAGGGUCAGCUCGGCAUGCGGCACACAAUCUUGUACUUUGCGUGUUUCCAAUCGUUUGUAAACACGCUCGCGUCGCUUUCGUCCGCAGUGAGCCAGCUGCGCGCCACACUCGGGCGCCUCAAGACAUUGGAUGCGAUGCUGCGCUGGUACUCGGAGCCGCUCGCGGGCACCGCGGGAGAGGGCUGCACCGCGGCCUUGGAGUUGGCCGUGGUCGACGUGCAGGAAUCCCCCACAGCAGAGGUAGCUCUGGACCACGUCAGCUUCUCGUAUCCAGCGGUGCCGGCUUUCUUCAGCGAGGUUGGUGGCGCCGCUGGCGCAGGCGACGCCGUUGCCUCAUGGGAGCAGCAGCUGAGCACCGCCAUGGGCAGUCAGCACAAUAACGGCGUGUCGCAGGUGAGCUUGACGGCUCUUGUUGGAGGCAUCACGGUCCUUUACGGCCCCAGUGGCUGUGGGAAGAGCACCUGUCUGCGGCUUCUGUGUGGUCUGGUGCGGCCUCACACAGGCACGGUGCGCACGCAGCGUCGCGCCGUGCUAUUGGAGCAGCAACACGCCAUCUUUAUCGGCACGGUGGCAGAAAACAUCUUGCUCACCAGCCUAUCCAGCUUUGGCAGUGGUACAGUUAAAGCAAGUGCGUUAAAACCCACGAUGCCAUCGAGUGGCGUUCCUCAGCUGCCCACUGCCGCAGCGACUUUCGCGGAGCUGCAGCGGCGCGUCACGGACGCAGCGGUUAAGAGCGGCUGCGCAGACUUCCUCAGCAACCCGUUCAGCACCUUCAUCGAGAGUGUCGACCACCCGCAGUUCAGCGGUGGCCAGCUGCAGCGCAUUGUCUUGGCUCGAAUGUUGGCGCGGACGGACGACUACUCGCUUGUCCUCCUAGAUGAACCUACCACCGGACUCGACCGGAGCGCCGUGGAGGUGCUGCUGGAGACUAUCAAGGAGCUGCGUGACACCCAUCACAAGACGAUUCUCAUUUCGACCCACGAUCGCCGUGUGGCGGAGGUGGCGGACAAAGUUAUCGACCUGUCGGCGAGCGCAGCAGAGGCACGGUGAGGACGCCGUUGCGCAUGUCCUUUUCGAUAAGGUUUAGACUUGUGUGAAUGAAUCAGAUGC
rnacentral:misc_RNA from 1 species